AUGCACAAUCAUGUUCGCAAGUGGUGGAAUAGGUGGACAAGGAUUGUUUAUUUGAAGGGUUUAAGUGGGGCACUUUGGGAUGAUGACAAAAAGAUGGUAGUUCUAGAAGAACAACACUAUUUGGGCCACACACAGGAUCAUCCAACAGAUGCUGAAUUUCUCAAUUCCCCACUUGAGAACUACAACUAUAUGGAAAAUUGCUUUGCUAAUAAGCAAGCCAUCGGGAAUUAUGCAAUGGCCACCGAUGUGCCACUGGGAACGCCUAUUGUUGUGGAAGACAAAGAUAAACCCAAUGUCAUGGAGGGGCAAGGAACAACUGAUGAGGUAUUGCAACAUCUUCAUGGGUCUAACUCUGUAAUUCCUAUUGGUAGUGCUACUCAGGACCCUUCACCUACUUCAAAUAAGAAUAGAAAGAGGGUAUUAGGUUUGACCGAGGAGGGCUCAAUCCAGUGUAGCAACAUGACUGAUGCUAUGCUGAGAUUGCAAGUGCUAUCAACAACACUUGCCAUGCUGAAACACACCCUGACUUGUACAAGGUUGUCAUGGACCUUACUGUGUUUGAUCAAAAUGACCGCUUGGCUGUUUUAG
rnacentral:rRNA from 1 species